GGCUGCUGCCAUCAACCCACAGCAGUUCAAGCAGGAAUACCGUGAAGGCUUUGGAGACAUCCAAUAAACCGUGGAAGCUAAAUCUCUUCCCAUAAAACCGCAAACUUUUCCAGUUGAGAGAGAAGUCUUUUGGUGCUAUCAAGUAUCACUGCAGAGGAGAAAUAAAACAGCACUGAGCUGUCAUUGAAAAUCUGUCUCAGGCUAUUGGAAACACAACAGGGCAGGGAGGGAGAUGUGCUGUCCUUAAUAUUUCACUGCAUACAGUCAGAAGAUCACCAUCUCCUUCCUUUCAUCUUUGAAGAAUACAUUUCAUCUUAAGAAUAUCUUUGGGGGAAAAUACAGUGGUGUUUGGGCCAGAGGAAUCGGACUGUGUAGCAUUGGAGAUGUGCUCCAGCACGGCUCACGGGAGCAGAAGGUGCUGCUGAGGCUGCUGUCACAAGGGGGAGGCAGCAACUAGUGAUAUGAAGCACCAACUGCUGUA